UGUUAAACUUUUUCCUGUCCUGUACCUCAUUGCUUUUUAAAUUUUCUUUCUGUGACCACUUUUAACAGGCCUAUCCUUAGUUUUUAUCUCUUUCCUGUCUUUUAACAAGUCACUUUUCAGUUAUCUAUGUCUCCUCCUAUCCAGUUGGUGGUUUUGAUUAUUUCUUGCAUUUCCUUAGUGCUCUCGCUUUCAAAAUUUUCUCUCCACGUCUUCGUUUAUUUAGUUCGUUCUCUCUAUUUUUACAUGCUGCUCUCUCUAAAUCCCUUGAAUUUUCAGAUUUUGUGUGGCAAUGCUCAUGCCCAGUGUUUGGAUCGAGGUCAGGCUUCGUCCAGGACUUUUGCAGGCAGGGUGAUGUUUGAGGCGCCCGGGAAGGGUGUUCCCAAGGAGGGCCGCAGACACAGUAUGAUGGCCUGUUGUGGCAAUCAGGUGGUAGGACAGAUGAGGUGAGUGAGGGGUGGUUUGGGUGGUUGCUGCACGAGUGCUGUGUUUAGAAUGUGUCAACCUGUGUGUGAUUGUCUUAUGUUGUUUGGUUUGCAGGUUUUAUGUGAAGUUGAGUUUUUGGAUAUUUAGGAAAAAAAGAAAUUAAAACCCCCAAAACCAGCUGGUGUAUUUUUUUGUUUUUUUCCCCCUGGCUGGGAUUUUUUUUCCCCCUGGUCCUAGCUGCUCUAUCUGGAGAUGAUCAGUGCCAACGUUAGGGUGCACAGAUUGUUCUCAGGCUGGUGUUUUUGGAGGCGGGGUGGUUUUUGAGAACCCCAGGAGUGCUGCAGACGUGGGGUGAUGGCCUGUUGUGGCAGUCAGGUGGCAGAAUGGAUGAGCUGAGAGUUGAGGGGUUGUUUGUGUGGUAGCAGAACAAGUGAUGUAUUCUGAUUGUGCCUAACUAGUUAGGAUUUAUUUUUGUAGUUUUCCCCUGUGGGCUGUAUGUGGAGUUGAGAUUUUUUUAUUUCAGACACUAAAAAAACCAACACCCAGCUCUGAGAUUUUAUUGUUUUCUUUCCCAGCUGGGUGGUUUUAUCCUGGUCCUGACUGCUCUGCAUGGUGAUGUUCAUCACCAAUCUUUGGAUGGAGGUUUGGCCUGGGCUGGGAUUUUUGCAGGCAGGGUGAAUUCUGAGGCCGCUGGGAAUGCUGUUUCUGUGGAGCGCUCCCCUGGCCUGUGGCAAUUGUCCAUCGUUGCAGGGAGGUGCGUUUAGUGGACAGUCAGGGGGAGAUGGUUGGUGCAUCUUGCAGUUGAAGGGUGUGGGGAGAUGCACUAGAGUGCUCCAGUGCUGAGGAGGAUGGGGUUGUGAAGCAGGUGGGCCUUAAUUUUACAUUGGUAGGGUUGUAAGUUCUUUCAGUGGGUGGUGUGGUGUCUGUAAUGCUUUUUGAAUUUGAUUUCUGGGUGCAGGCAUGGAAGUUGUGGGCCUGUUAAGAUGAGCAGAGCUUGCUUGCUUUCUGCCUAGGCAUACAAAUUUUGGAGAUGUAGCCUUAAACUUGUAUGUGUAAAGUGAUAGACUAAGUAUGUAAUGGGAAUGAAAAACGUAGAGAAGACUCUAGCUACUGUGUAGAGAAUCGCAGGCACUAAGUGGUUGCAAUUAAGGUAAUGAUGGAUUUUUAGCAGUUACCUGUAUUUAUUAAAGAAAUUACUAAAAAGUGAAUGAGUGUAAUAGUAAUUAUUUGCUCAAAUGAGACAGUAAAUACUUUUUAUCAUGGUAGCACAAGAACAUUGUGGAAUUGAGGUGUGUGUAAUGAUAUUAGCGAAGUUAUUUGGAGUCAGUAAUGGGCUAACAGAAAGAUAGGGACUGUUGGAAAAAAAAGAUAGGCAAUAUUUUAUCCUAAGCAAUAAAUGGUAGAGUAUUGCCUGUCUCUUACUGCACCACACUUAGACUUUUUAUAUUUUUACUUAUCCAAAACACACAAUUGAAGUAACUGGCACACAUACAUUAAAGUAACAUGCACACGCUACUAGAACCAGUAAUUGCUGAUUAUAACACAGCUGCACUAUAAGUCUUCCAGCUGUACUGGAAGUCCCCACACAGAACUGACAAGUGUAACAGCCCAGUCCAAGCCUAAAGAGGCUGAACUACCCCAUAAACUGUAAACAUCACCCAUAAUUCCAUAAAUAGACUCCAAAUAAACUGUUUAUUGCAGAUGAAGCAGCUGACAACUGCAAGAACAGCCCAAUUACCUGAUGUGCAGGAUGGGCUCUUAGUACCUACAUGUUGGGAUCAGAGGUCAUUACUGGGGUCAAAUGUAAAAACAUGAUUCAAAGGGAUAUUGCAUGGUCAAAGGUAAGGGUCAGCUUGGGGUCCAGGGUAAGCUUGGGGUCAAGGGUAAUACAUUGACUCAGGAUCAAACGUCAGCUGCCUUUGACCAGGUGGUCUGGAGAACCUCUCCUGCUGACUUAUGGUGACAGGCGUCAUCCUGGACUGUGAUGCUGAUGGCUCUUCUGGGACAGCCCUGGAAGGACCCAAUGCAGGGAUGCCAUUCACUGGUGUUCCCUCACCUGUUGGUGCCUCUGCUCAUGUUUAUGUGGAUGAGCUUUUUAUCACAUAACCUACCAGGAAGCCAUAGCUAAAGCUUUGGAAAAACUCGAACACUCUAAUACUAAAAUAACCUGGAGAGAAUUUUGGUAGUUUGAUUAAUUUGCAGGAUAACAUCUCGAGGGCCAGCAACUUAAAGAGAAGUCACUCUGCCCAUUUUAUUAAUUCUAGUUCAAAGGAAGCAUGUGCAGAAGAAGCCUAAGAGGGGUAGCAGCCCAACAAUCCCUAUGCCCCUCUAGCAUGGAGCCCUGUUUUUGAAACUUUCUCCAUCUGUCUCUCUGGCCCCUGUUUUUUAACUCCUCCCUCUCUACCCUGUUGCCCCUGCGAUCUUUUGUCUUUCUUUGCGUCUUUCUGGCCAGCUCCUUGUCCCUAUUUAUUAAUUCCUCCCUCUCCACCCUCUAGUCUCUUGCUUUUAUCCUUUCUCGAUCUCACUGUCUCUGGGUCCUCAACGACACUAUUCUUUCUGUUGCUAUUCUUUUUCCUCUCCCGCUGUCUUUCUUUUUUUCUCGAUCGCUGUCCCUCCUUCCUCUCUGCCUUUCGGUGUGCAGCUCUACACGCGCCGCGACACCCAUCACCGCGCUCGCUGCGAGCAACAGCUGGUACUUGGGGCGCCGCCGCGCGCGUUUCCGGCUGUCGCCCAGCGACCACGCUGCGCACGUGUGGUGGCUGCCCCGUGCUCAGCCCUGCCGCGCGCCAGUAACGGCAGCGUGACGGGGCGGUGCUGCCGCGCUUGUCGCUGCCCCGCGGUGAGGAACCGCCGCCGCGCCCUGCGCGCGCUCUCGCGCCGAUCGCUGAACUGCAGCGCCGGUGCCCUGGGCACGCGCCGCCCGCCGGGCGCUCCCGGCUGCUGCGGCCGCUGCCGCCGCCCCGUGGGCGAAGCGCGGCACUGCAGCACGGCGUCCGCGCGUCGGCAGUGGCCCCUCCGGCGCGCCGUCCGCGGCCGGAGCAGGCGCGGUGCCCGGGAGCAGCGUGGCGGCGCGUAAGGGCCGAGCGAGCGGGUCGGUGGAGUGAGCGAACGCCACCUCUUCGGCGCGUGCGUCUCCUGCCCGCCGACCGCCCGGAUGUGGCGGGACAGGAAGCUUCACACCGCCCGCUGCGGCAGGCUCCCAGCGCGCUGGGGGCGAGCCUAGACAGGGCAGCCCCAGGGAGUUACAGAGGGCCGGUAGAAGGGACGAGGGGAAGGAGGCGGGCGUCCCCAACUCGCCAGAGCUCCCCUUGAGCUGGCCCCGGCCCUGCUCACCCCAUGCAGCUGCCCCAGGCUCCAGCACCUCCCCUGAAGCCUGUCCCAUAGCCCCAGGUUGCCCCUGAGCCCUGUGGUGAGGGCAACAAGCUGGUCCUCGAUGUGUCUCCAGAAGCCCCUGCAGAAGGAGGAGCUCCAGCCAGUGGUGAUCUACGGUAGUAGCAGUCACUGCUGCUUUUCCUCUCCCGGAGGCUGUGCUGAGGAUGCAGUUGUCCAUUCCUGCCCUGGGGAUGCCACUGACUGCCCCCACCUCAGGCUUGCAUGAGUUGUCUGUGCCUGGCCUCGUGCUCCUUGCAGUAAGGGGCAAGAAGGGACAGGUCCACAGAACACUUACUGGCUGUGGUCAGGAGCUGUGGUGGCUGAAGCUGGAAUGGCCAGAGAAAGGUAAAGAAGAAGAAAUUGAAGGCUAUCUGGUCAGCUUCAGCGUCCCACUACAGGGAGAGAGAGGCAGCCUCUCUAGGUGACGAAUGAUCCGUCUUUGUAGUCUGCAGCAGGUAAGACCACUAAUGUGCACCGCGGGCUGUGUACAUGUCACCCAAAGCGUGUUGUGGCCAUUUAGUGUGUGAGCGAGUGAGGCUGCAUGUGUAGGGAGCUUCAUCUUGUAAGAUCUGUGAGACACCUAUGUGUUCUCUUAGGUAGAGGACAGCUAAAUGACUGGAUCUAGAGAAGAGGAAGGGAGAAGAACAAAGAAGCGUCUGAACUGGCAAAUUCUGGCAGCACUGAGAGUGAGAGCUGUAGUGCCGCAGGUAGCCUCAGAGGGGCAAAGUCGCAUGCUGAUAGGCAGUCCAAGAAGGUGAGGAGGUUGUUGGCUGGGCUGGUGUCUAAUAACAAAGUAUUAUAUGGCAACUUGGUUAAGCAUUUACCUCAGUUUUGCAGGUGCUGUGGGAGCCACCUUUGGAAUUGGAUGAGCCUUUGAGGUACCAAAAAGUGAUGAUGGCCACAGUGUCUGACUCUGAAAUGAGUAGGUGCAGAGGGAUAAGAUGCAUACCAAAGUGAUGGAGGAGGAGUUAAGUGGUGAGCAAAAUGGGAUAUUGGUACCAGAGCUGACUCAGGCAAGCUGCCUUUGGAAUUGGAUGAACACCUGAGAUGAAGAAAGAGGAAGCUGGCAACUUAAAGGGACAUCCCUGUUAGCUGAUGCUGUUUUUCUGUUGAUGAUGGUUUCAGACCUCUGGCCCUUUGAAAACUAUGAUGAGGGGACGAAGGUCUGGAGAAGGGUUGGGAGGAGUUGAGUGGACAAGGUCGGGAACUGCAGGGAGGGCUAUUAAAGUUAGCGUAGGGGAGUGUACUGUCCAGGAACGGUAUCCUUUGGUCAGGCAAGGGAGUGGGUUACUUGUCAGCAUGACAAUAGUUUGUGUUGGGCAGGGCAGGUUCCAGCCUGUGUCUGUGCAUGUAGCUCACGUAGUCUGUCUUGUGUCUUAUACCACACUGUCCUCGGGUUUUAAUGUCUCCAUAGCUCUUUGUCGUGAGCAGACACCUCAGUAGCCCCCCUGAGAAUCUUGACUGCAUUGCUUCACUGGCAUAGUGUCUGUCGAGCCCUUCUUGUCUAGCAGUUGUGGCCUAAAGGAUGGAUUUGUCUGUGUUUUGCAUUGUAGAUGUUCUUGAGCGUUCACCUCUUGUGCUGACAAGCUAGGCGAUGCCUGCAACUCUUCUGUUGAGAGUUCUCUUUGCACACAGUAGUCUUCUGGGGUUUCAUCUCUGUGUCCUUAAUGAUCCUAAGUUUCAAAGCCUAGCUUCUCAGGUAUCCAUCAUUCUGGUUUUGACGGUAGCUUUCUCUCAUGGGCCACAGUAGUUGCCUCUCAUUCCGGGGCCGCUAUAGAGCAUCUGCACUGUCCUGGCACCGUUGAGCUCCUCUGCUGGUGGCAUCUUCCCUAGGAUGGCAGUUCUCUCUCAUGGUCUUCUCACAUCUCACAAUUGUGUUGUUUGUGGUGUCUGUCUGUGUCAGGGUUGGAGCUGCCCUGCCCAGGGGUGUAGCAAUACUAAAGACAAUGGUAGCAUAGCUUUAUGGUUGUAUAGUAAUAUGUUGAUCUGCCCUGAUACUUUUGGCAAAGACUGUACGGUCCAUCUCCGGGAAAAUAGCUGUAGACAGCUGCUAGAGUUGUUUUCACUGUGUUUGGCAGGUGCCAGAGGUUGGACUCUGGCCUGCUGGGAGUGGUGGUCAGUGUGGUAGUUGAGCGGGUUGAAUCUCAAAGGAGCCUUACAUUAUACGCGGGGUUCAACAUGUGGGGUUUGGUUGUUUUAGCUGUAGUUAGAAGGCAUAUGCAAAAAGAGAGACCUUUGGUCUUGUAAAGCUAUCAGUUAGUGUCUAGGUGACUACCUUCACGUGAUUUGGGUUUCUCAGAUGCAGAGUGACGAGCCGUGUGCCGCAGGGUGACAGAAGAGGUAAGCAGAGUGCUGGGCAAAGGCGGGCCAGUGUCCGAUGUCAGAGGAUACGUGUGACUGAUGGCUCUGAUGGGCUUAUGCUGUUUCGGGUUUAUUUGCUAGGUGUGAAUAGAUGAGUGAAGUGGGAUAUCUGCACCGGAGCAGACUUGAGCAAGGUAAGUGGUGACCAGCGUGCCGAAGUAGUAGUUUUUUGAGGUGUCACACCCACCCUAUUAUGUACAUACAUAUCCUAUCCAAUAGGGAUAUAUAGGGAUGGGGUAUGUAGACCAAAGAAUCUGAGUCUGAGCAGCUGAGGUAAAGCAGCAGAGGAGAAGUGCUGUGAGCAGGCUGAGGAUUUGGGUGGCAUCUUCCGUCUGAUUUUUCCCCUGUUUUUUGGCAGGUGCUGCAUUCCUUUGCAGAGGGUUGAAGCUGCACAGCUAUGAGCAGUUUGAGAAAAGGCAAGAGAGUUAAGUGGUCCACUUGGGCUAAAUUGCUGAGGGUCCAUGCAACUGUGAUGUAUUACUUUGAAAGCUGGAGCAGAGCAAGUGAAUGCAGCUAUUUAGGGCUGUGGUCUCACGGAUGAAGUGUGUAUUAAACAGCUUUGUUUUGUUUGUGAAGGUAACAGAGCGGCAUGAAGUGAUUACAGGAACCUCGCAUUUAGGCAACAAGGCCACUAUCGAGGAUGGAUACUGAGCAUGGACCGUGAGCUGUGGCACCAUCAAAGCUAAGUAGUGGGACAGAUCUGUGGGGAGCGGAGUCCAUGUGUGUCCAAACGUUGCCGUAACGGGAGGGUUAGUCUGUGGGGAGUCAGCCUCGUGCAAGUGGAGGGAAUGAUACGUUUCACGACGUGUGCCCUGUGCAGUAUGUCUAGUGUGUGUUCGUACGUGUUCCUUAGUUACCUGAUGUGUUGAUGUUUGUCUUGGCCUUCAUGUCUGAGAAGCCUCAGGCAUACUCAUCCUACUGCAAUCACAAUAGCCAUCCGUUGCGUCUCUGUGGCCUCCCGUUAUUGGCAUGGUGCCAAUUCCGACUUGUUUAGCAGCGUGACAUAGAAGCUCAAUGCUGUUGGUCUGGUUUAGCGUUGUAGGUGCAUUUGGCCAGUCUUUCUUGCAGCUCUGGCUUGGGCCUAACCAUCAGGUCUCAUCUCGAUGACUCUUUCUUGAGACUGCUUCCAGAGUACCUCCUGUGCCAUCCUAGUCUUCAGUCUUUCCCAGCAAUUUGUCUCCAUCGGUCACGGUGGGUUUAUCAGGCCAGGCCAGAGUGUGUGCAUCACGUGGCCUCGGCACUGUAACGCGUGCUGUCAGGCCGCGUCUUUUGGUCUGGCGUUAACUCUACUCUGUCUGGUAUUCUUGCAUCCUUAGGUCACGUUUGUAGUUUGUAUAGUGUGUGUGUGAGGUGGAGCUGCUUUGUCCGUUUGUAUAGCAAUUCUUGUUGAUGUUGGAAUGAUCCAAGCACGGGAUGACGUGAUGAUUAGCAUGGCCUGUUUGGGUGGAGGUUGCAUAAGCUGGUUUUGGGGAUAGCCUAUAGCUAUUGGUGAGCAAGUUCUAAAGUCCCUCAUUUUAUCUUUUGCAGGUGUCUGGGGCCAUUGGGAUUCUGGGAGCAAAUCCUUCCGUGAGGCUUGCUGGAACGUGCACUUCAAAGAACGGGAGGAGUAGAAGUGGUGCAAAGAGGGAAACGUAUCCCUCUGCGUGCAGUUAGGAAGGGUAAUGCUGUGAAAUCGUGUGGACCGGUGAAGUUGUGUUGAGGUGCACAGUGAUGCAGUUCCAGGGAUGGUUAUAGAAUUGGGGUGAUCUGCCACUCUGGCAGGUGAUGAAAUGGAUAUGUUUUGAGUGAGGGGUGGAAUGAGCAGAUGCCGAAUGAGUGUUAGUUUUGGAAUGUGUCUAUCCUUAUAGGUGUGGAUUUCUUUUAUUUCAGGUUGUACCAAAUGUAGAGGUAGUUAAUGUUUCCUUAACAAUAAAUAAAAAAAACCCUCAAGCUGG